CCUACGGGUGGCAGCAGUGGGGAAUAUUGCACAAUGGGGGGAACCCUGAUGCAGCGACGCCGCGUGGGUGAAGGAGUAUUUCGGGAUGGAAAGCCCUAUCAGCAGGGAAGAACACUGACGUUACCUGACUAGGAAGCACCGGCUCAAUAGGUGCCAGCAGCCGCGGUACAACGUAUGGAGCAAGCGUUAUCCGGAUUUACUUGGUGUAAGGGGAGCGUAGGGGGCGCGUUCAGCCUGGUGUUAAAGCCCGCGGUCCCACCGCGGGAGUGCAUUGGAAACUGGCGCGCUGGAGUGCCGGAGGGGUAGGCGGAAUGCCUAGUGUAGCGGUGAAAUGCGUAGAUAUUAGGAGGAACACCAGUGGCGAAGGCGGCCUACUGGACGGUGACUGACGCUGAGGCUCGAAAGCGUGGGGAGCAAACAGGAUUAGAUACCCCGGUAGUC
rnacentral:rRNA from 1 species